rnacentral:lncRNA from 1 species
CAAGAACAAAGGCGUGAGAGAAGAAACUGACAUGAUGGAUGGAGAAAACAGUACGGAGAACUCCAGAUUCAGAAAUAAGAAGGAGGAAUGGACAUGGAUGCAUCUUACCAUGGGAAAUAAGAAAAGAAGGCUCAACUCUAGGUUCCAGACGCUUUCAAGAAAAGACUCAACAGCUCAGCUAACAAAGGCAUCCUAAUUAACUGCAUUUUAUGGACCUUAAAAC